CGGGAUGUGGUGUAAUGGUAGCACGCGUCCUUUGGGAGGAUGUAGUCCGAGUUCGAAUCUCGGCAUCCCGA
rfam:Parcubacteria bacterium GW2011_GWA2_47_9 TY15_C0007, whole genome shotgun sequence.